ACUCCUACGGGAGGCAGCAGUGGGGAAUAUUGCACAAUGGGGGAAACCCUGAUGCAGCCAUGCCGCGUGUGUGAAGAAGGCCCUUGGUUGUAAAGCACUUUCAGUAGGGAGGAAGGUAGUGUAGUUAACACCUGCAUUAUUUGACGUUACCUACAGAAGAAGCACCGGCUAACUCCGUGCCAGCACGCCGCGGUAAGUACGGAGGGUGCGAGCGUUAAUCGGAAUUACUGGGCGUAAAGCGCAUGCAGGCGGCCUGUUAAGUCAGAUGUGAAAGCCCGGGGCUUAACCUCGGAAUUGCAUUUGAAACUGGCAGGCUAGAGUCUUGUAGAGGGGUAGAAUUUCAGGUGUAGCGGUGAAAUGCGUAGAGAUCUGAAGGAAUACCAGUGGCGAAGGCGGCCCCCGUGGACAAAGACUGACGCUCAGAUGCGAAAGCGUGGGAGCAAACAGGAUUAGAUACCCCGUGGUAGGAUAGCG
rnacentral:rRNA from 1 species